rnacentral:rRNA from 1 species
UACGAAGGGUGCAAGCGUUAAUCGGAAUUACUGGGCGUAAAGCGUGCGCAGGCGGUUUUGUAAGUCAGAUGUGAAAUCCCCGGGCUCAACCUGGGAACUGCGUUUGAAACUACAAGGCUAGAGUGUAGCAGAGGGGGGUGGAAUUCCACGUGUAGCAGUGAAGUGCGUAGAGAUGUGGAGGAACACCGAUGGCGAAGGCAGCCCCCUGGGUUAACACUGACGCUCAGGCACGAAAGCGUGGGGAGCAAACAGG